AGUGAACGCUGGCGGUAGGCCUAACACAUGCAAGUCGAACGGCAGCACAGUAAGAGCUUGCUCUUACGGGUGGCGAGUGGCGGACGGGUGAGGAAUACAUCGGAAUCUACUUUUUCGUGGGGGAUAACGUAGGGAAACUUACGCUAAUACCGCAUACGACCUACGGGUGAAAGCAGGGGAUCUUCGGACCUUGCUCGAUUGAAUGAGCCGAUGUCGGAUUAACUAGUUGGCGGGGUAAAGGCCCACCAAGGCGACGAUCCGUAGCUGGUCUGAGAGGAUGAUCAGCCACACUGGAAAUGAGACACGGUCCAGACUCCUACGGGAGGCAGCAGUGGGGAAUAUUGGACAAUGGGCGCAAGCCUGAUCCAGCCAUACCGCGUGGGUGAAGAAGGCCUUCGGGUUGUAAAGCCCUUUUGUUGGGAAAGAAAAGCAGCAGGUUAAUACCCCGCUGUUCUGACGGUACCCAAAGAAUAAGCACCGGCUAACUUCGUG
rnacentral:rRNA from 1 species